rnacentral:lncRNA from 1 species
UAAAAUUGACGUGUAUUCCAUAAAUGUUAUGCCUGUCGAUUACCCGUCCCUUUCUUUUUCAACGGAUAAGAAAAUGACAGAUAUAACUUAAAAUAAAAUUAGAUGGUAUUUACAGGAAUUAGCACC